GACGAACGCUGGCGGCGUGCUUAACACAUGCAAGUCGAGCGGUAAGGCCUUUCGGGGUACACGAGCGGCGAACGGGUGAGUAACACGUGGGUGACCUGCCCUCAGCUCUGGGAUAAGCCUGGGAAACCGGGUCUAAUACCGGAUAUGACUCCAUGACGCAUGUUGUGGGGUGGAAAGCCUUGUGCGGCUGAGGAUGGGCCCGCGGCCUAUCAGCUUGUUGGUGGGGUGAUGGCCUACCAAGGCGACGACGGGUAGCCGGCCUGAGAGGGCGACCGGCCACACUGGGACUGAGACACGGCCCAGACUCCUACGGGAGGCAGCAGUGGGGAAUCUUGCGCAAUGGGCGAAAGCCUGACGCAGCGACGCCGCGUGAGGGAUGACGGCCU
rnacentral:rRNA from 1 species